rnacentral:rRNA from 1 species
GAUGAACGCUAGCGACAGGCCUAACACAUGCAAGUCGAGGGGCAGCACAUGAGUAGCAAUACGAUGGUGGCGACCGGCGCACGGGUGAGUAACACGUAUGCAACCUACCUGUAAGAGGGGAAUAACCCGGAGAAAUUCGGACUAAUACCGCAUAAUACCAAGAGACUGCAUGGUUUCUUGGUUAAACAUUUAUGGCUUACAGAUGGGCAUGCGUAUGAUUAGCUAGCUGGUGAGGUAACGGCUCACCAAGGCAACGAUCAUUAGGGGUUCUGAGAGGAAGGUCCCCCACACUGGUACUGAGACACGGACCAGACUCCUACGGGAGGCAGCAGUGAGGAAUAUUGGUCAAUGGGCGAGAGCCUGAACCAGCCAAGUCGCGUGAAGGAAGAAGGUUCUAUGGAUUGUAAACUUCUUUUGUAAGGGAAUAAAGAGAGCUACGUGUAGCUUAUUGUAUGUACUUUACGAAUAAGGAUCGGCUAACUCCGUGCCAGCAGCCGCCGUAACAC